AGAGUUUGAUCCUGGCUCAGGAUGAACGCUGGCGGCGUGCCUAAUACAUGCAAGUCGAGCGAGAAUCUCAGAAACAAUUCUCGGAUGCGUUCAGGAGAGGAAAGCGGCGGACGGGUGAGUAACGCGUAGGCAACCUGCCCCUGGCAGAGGGAUAGCCAUUGGAAACGAUGAUUAAAACCUCAUAACGCUGGAGUAACACAUGUUACAUCAGCCAAAGACUUAUCGGCGUGGGGAUGGGCCUGCGUCUGAUUAACUAGUUGGUGAGGUAACGGCCCACCAAGGUGACGAUCAGUAGCCGACCUGAGAGGGUGAUCGGCCACAUUGGAACUGAGACACGGUACCAAACUUCUACGGAAGGCAGCAGUAAGGAAUCUUGCACAAUGGGGGAAACCCUGAAUGCAGCAACGCCGCGUGAACGAUGAAGGCCUUAGGGUUGUAAAGUUCUGAUCUGUGGGAAGAAGAAAGUGACGGUACCACAGGAGAAAGCCCCGGCUAAAUACGUGCCAGCCGCCGC
rnacentral:rRNA from 1 species